GAGUUUGAUCCUGGCUCAGAGCGAACGCUGGCGGCAGGCUUAACACAUGCAAGUCGAGCGGGCGUAGCAAUACGUCAGCGGCAGACGGGUGAGUAACACGUGGGAACGUACCUUUUGGUUCGGAACAACUGAGGGAAACUUCAGCUAAUACCGGAUAAGCCCUAACGGGAAGAUUAUCGCCGAAAGAUCGGCCCGCGUCUGAUUAGCUAGUUGGUGAGGUAAUGGCUCACCAAGGCGACGAUCAGUAGCUGGUCUGAGAGGAUGAUCAGCCACACUGGGACUGAGACACGGCCCAGACUCCUACGGGAGGCAGCAGUGGGGAAUAUUGGACAAUGGGGGCAACCCUGAUCCAGCCAUGCCGCGUGAGUGAUGAAGGCCCUAGGGUUGUAAGCUCUUUGUGCGGGAAGAUAAUGACGGUACCGCAAGAAUAAGCCCCGACUAACUUCGUGCCAGCAGCCGCCGCGGUAAC
rnacentral:rRNA from 1 species